CCUACGGGACGCAGCAGUAGGGAAUCUUCCACAAUGGGCGAAAGUCUGAUGGAGCAACGCCGCGUGAGUGAAGAAGGGUUUCGGCUCGUAAAACCCUGUUGUUAGAGAAGAAAGAGAGAGGGAGUAACUGUCCUUUAUUUGACGGUAGUUACUUAGAAAGUCACGGCUAACUACGUGCCAGCAGCCGCGGUAAUACGUAGGUGGCAGGCGUUGUCCGGAUUUAUUGGGCGUAAA
rnacentral:rRNA from 1 species